GGAUGCGCAGCUUACACAUGCAGUCGAGCGCACUCUUCGGAGUGAGCGGCGGACGGGUUAGUAACGCGUGGGAACGUGCCCUUCUCUAAGGAAUAGCCACUGGAAACGGUGAGUAAUACCUUAUACGCCCUUCGGGGGAAAGAUUUAUCGGAGAAGGAUCGGCCCGCGUUAGAUUAGAUAGUUGGUGGGGUAAUGGCCUACCAAGUCUACGAUCUAUAGCUGGUUUUAGAGGAUGAUCAGCAACACUGGGACUGAGACACGGCCCAGACUCCUACGGGAGGCAGCAGUGGGGAAUCUUGGACAAUGGGCGCAAGCCUGAUCCAGCCAUGCCGCGUGAGUGAUGAAGGCCUUAGGGUCGUAAAGCUCUUUCGCCAGAGAUGAUAAUGACAGUAUCUGGUAAAGAAACCCCGGCUAACUCCGUGCCAGCAGCCGCGGUAAUACGGAGGGGGUUAGCGUUGUUCGGAAUUACUGGGCGUAAAGCGCACGUAGGCGGAUCAGAAAGUAUAGGGUGAAAUCCCAGGGCUCAACCCUGGAACUGCCUUGUAAACUCCUGGUCUUGAGUUCGAGAGAGGUGAGUGGAAUUCCGAGUGUAGAGGUGAAAUUCGUAGAUAUUCGGAGGAACACCAGUGGCGAAGGCGGCUCACUGGCUCGAUACUGACGCUGAGGUGCGAAAGUGUGGGGAGCAAACAGGAUUAGAUACCCUGGUAGUC
rnacentral:rRNA from 1 species